GGGCGAAUGGUUUAGUGGUAUAAUACUCCCUUAGCACGAUUCGUCUGAAUAGUUUGGGAGUGGUCCAGGGUUCGAUUCCCUGUUCGUCCA